rnacentral:lncRNA from 1 species
AAGAUUCAUCUCAAACUUCCCUUCAACUUUCUCCAGUGAGUGCUAAUUGUGUUCUUGUUGUCAACCAGUUCUUGUCCUUGUCACUGUAGGUUCAGCAGCUGCAAAGGUGAAAUGUUUUGACAAAUAUCAAAUGUCAUACAUUUUAUACUGUGGAUCAGCAUGGAUGUUUUUUAGCUUCUUCAGAUGGUUCUGUAAUGGAGUUAUAUUUGGAAGUCUCCCAGUAUGGUGCAAAAGCCUCAUAGAGAGAGGAAGUUUAUAAACUGAAAUUCUACAAGAAGAAGAAAGGCCAGCUGCUCAUUCUGUAUGAUUCCUCCUUGAGCUUUUGUAUUUUCCCAGCCAGACCUUUCAAGCUCCCUAUUUAUGAAUUUAUCUUCAUACUGAUUGGUGACAAAGAUUGGCCAGCAUAUUUUCACUCUGUGGAUAGAAGCUGCUUAAAGACUGAGAUAACAUAUCAAUGAAAAAAGAUAAAACCUGACAAUAAGGGAAUAUGAGGGGAAAGGGGUAGACUUGACUGUGGUUCUGCCAGUCAUAA